CCCUUAGAUGUUCUGGGCCGCACGCGCGCUACACUGAUGCAUUCAACGAGUUUCUUCCUGGUCCGAGAGGAAUGGGUAACCUUUUGAAAGUGCAUCGUGAUAGGGAUAGACUAUUGCAAUUAUUGGUCUUCAACGAGGAAUUCCUAGUAGACGUAGUUCACCAGACUGCAUCGAUUACGUCCCUGCCCUUUGUACACACCGCCCGUCGCUCCUACCGAUUGAAUGCUCAGGUGAGCCAUUCGGACUUUCAUCAUGCUGGUUUCCAGUUUUGAUGAAGGAAAGUCUUGCGAACCUUAUCAUUUAGAGGAAGGAGAAGUCGUAACA
rnacentral:rRNA from 1 species